AUUGAACGCUGGCGGCAUGCUUUACACAUGCAAGUCGAACGGCAGCGCGGGCUUCGGCCUGGCGGCGAGUGGCGAACGGGUGAGUAAUACAUCGGAACGUGCCCAGUAGUGGGGGAUAGCUCGGCGAAAGCCGGAUUAAUACCGCAUACGACCUGAGGGUGAAAGCGGGGGAUCUUCGGACCUCGCGCUAUUGGAGCGGCCGAUGGCAGAUUAGCCAGUUGGUGGGGUAAAGGCCUACCAAGGCGACGAUCUGUAGCUGGUCUGAGAGGACGACGAGCCACACUGGGACUGAGACACGGCCCAGACUCCUACGGGAGGCAGCAGUGGGGAAUUUUGGACAAGGGGCGAAAGCCUGAUCCAGCAAUGCCGCGUGUGUGAUGAAGGCCUUCGGGUUGUAAAGCACUUUUGGCGGGAACGAAAAGGACUGUGCCAAUACCACGGUUCGAUGACGGUACCCGCAGAAUAAGCACCGGCUAACUACGUGCCAGCAGCCGCGGUAA
rnacentral:rRNA from 1 species